AAAUUUGUAUUGAAAUUUAGAUGUGACUCAUUGCGUGCAGUCACACUACACACAAUCCAAAUCGGAGUUUUAGAUACCCUAUAUACCUCACUCUGUGUAGGCUCAAUAUUACUUUUGCUUGAACAAUAUCCUACAAUACAAUGAAUCGUCAUGAGUUUGACAUCGCUCUUCAUUUGGCUUUGACAGAGCUAAGAAAUUUUUCAUGGACUACAUGGCAGCCAUUAGUCUCACCAUGCUUGUUGGAACAUGUAACUUUACCUCUAGAGUUUGGCUUUCUUGUGAUAUUGUUAGUCCAAUUCAUAAGAAAUUGCAUGAACAACAUCACCAAGCAAAACAAGGUCUCAGAAGUGCAUCCAAAUUGCAUAAAAUUUGGUUUUCCUUACAAAAUAAGCUUAGCUUGCACCACUUCAUUGUUGGCUAUUCAUGCCUUAAUGCUAAUAUUGAUGCUCAAUCAUGAGCCUCAGUGUACUUCAAAACUUCAAACUUAUACAUCAGAGAUCAUUCAAGUGUUAUCUUCUGCGACUAUUCUAAUAGCAAUAUGCAAGAUGUCAAAAACAAAUGCUAAUUUCCAUUGGAUUGUAAGGCUUUGGUGGUUUUUCAGUUUCCUUUUGAGCAUUAUCAGCACAGCCCUUCAUGUCCAUUUCAGUAUAAAAAACAAGGGUGUUAUUGGUAUAAAAGAAUAUGCAGAUUUCCUUGGUUUGGUUGUUUCAACAUGUCUGUUAGUUGUUUCAACAAGAGGGAAAACAGGCAUAGUCAUCAUUGCAACAAAUGGUAGCAUAUCUGAACCACUUUUGGAAGAGAAAAAUGAGAAACAUUCUUCUGAGUGUCUAAAAGAAUCACCAUAUGGAAAAGCUACAAUUUUUCAAUUGAUAAAUUUCUCAUGGCUCAAUCCGUUGUUUGCGGUAGGGUAUAAGAAACCUCUUCAAUUGGAUGACAUUCCUAAUCUUGACAUCAAGGACUCUGCUGAAUAUCUAAAUUGCGCAUUUGAUGAGAGUCUUAGAUAAGUUAAGGAAAAAGAUGGAACUACAAAUCCAUCUAUCUACAAGGCAAUCUAUUUAUUUGCUAGAAAAAAAGCGGCAAUCAACGCGCUUUUUGCAAUAAUAAGCGCUUCAGCAUCUUAUGUUGGUCCAUAUUUGAUCACUGACUUUGUGAAUUUCCUCACCGAGAAGGACAGUCGCGGACUAAAGAGCGGAUACCUUUUGUCGCUAGGUUUCUUAUGUGCUAAAAUGGUUGAGGUUAUAGCUCAGAGGCAAUGGAUUUUCGGUGCUCGGCAAUUAGGCCUCCGCCUAAGGGCCGCAUUGAUAUCACAUGUAUACAAGAAGGGCUUACAUCUGUCAAGCCGAUCGCGUCAAAGUCAUUCUGGUGGUGAGAUAAUGAACUACAUGAGUGUAGAUGUGCAGAGGAUUACGGAUUUCGUUUGGUAUGUAAACGUUAUUUGGAUGCUGCCGAUACAAAUUUCCUUAGCUGUUAUCAUUUUGCAGACAAAUCUUGGAUUAGGUUCAUUGGCUGCAUUAGCUGCUACACUAGCAGUUAUGACUUUGAACAUACCUUUAACGAAAAUACAGAAAAGAUACCAAACCAAGAUCAUGGAUGCAAAAGACAACAGAAUGAAGACCACUUCAGAAAUUCUCAAAAACAUGAGGACUUUGAAAUUUCAAGCAUGGGAUUGUGAGUUUUUCCAAAGGAUAGAAUCAUUGAGAAGUGUUGAAUAUGGUUGGUUAUCAAAGUCAUUAAGACAACAGGCUUUUUCGGCUUUUAUCUUCUGGGGUUCACCUACAUUCAUUUCAGUGAUAACCUUUUGGACAUGCAUGUUCUUAGGUAUUGAUCUGACAGCCGGAAGGGUCUUAUCUGCAUUUGCGACAUUCCGAAUGUUACAAGAUCCUAUUUUUAGUCUACCUGAUUUACUCAAUGUCAUUGCUCAAGGAAAAGUUUCCGUCGAUAGGAUUGCUUCUUUUCUUAAGAAGGAAGAAAUCCAACAUGAUGUUAUUGAAUAUGUUUCUAAGGACAAAACAGAAUUUGAUGUAGUUAUUGAGAAAGGAAGAUUCAGUUGGGAUCCUGAGACAUCAAUUCCAACACUUGAUGAAAUUGAGUUGAUAGUUAAGAGAGGAAUGAAGGUUGCAAUUUGUGGUUCUGUUGGUUCCGGGAAAUCUAGUAUGCUCUCUGGAGUUUUGGGAGAGAUAUUUAAACAAUCAGGGAAUGUUAAGAUUAGUGGAACAAAGGCUUAUGUUCCACAAUCAGCAUGGAUACUUACUGGAAAUAUUAGGGACAAUAUAACCUUUGGAAAAGAGUUUGAUGAAGAUAAGUAUGAAAAAACUGUUGAAGCAUGUGCUUUGAAAAAGGACUUUGAUCUAUUCUCAUGUGGUGAUUUGACUGAGAUUGGUGAAAGAGGGAUUAAUAUGAGUGGUGGACAGAAACAAAGAAUACAGAUAGCUAGAGCUGUUUAUCAAGAUGCUGACAUAUACCUUUUUGAUGAUCCUUUUAGUGCUGUCGAUGCUCAUACUGGCACUCACCUCUUUAAGGUCAGUUUUUCUUUUUCUAUACUUUAAAUUUGUAAAAUAUUUCAUGGUUUAAAGACUUGUUUGAGAAACAAUUACAUUGCUUUAAUGUUUGGUGUUUCAUAUGUUUUCCACAGGAAUGUCUUCUGGGGAUUCUCAAAGAAAAAACUAUACUUUUUGUUACACACCAAGUUGAGUUUCUUCCAGCAGCAGACCUCAUUCUGGUAAAUGAUGCUUGCUUGAAAGUUUGGUUCUAUAUUUAUUUAGUCAAUAAAGAGUAUAUCGAAUUAUGUUGUUGACGAGACUAUAGUCUAUUAAACUAAGAAUUUAAUUCAUAUACACCGUCAGUUUAAAGAUUUUCUACAUUGGCAAUCAAUCUUAAUCCUCAAAUCUUUAAAAACAUUUGGCUUUAAUCAAUAAAUACUUCUAAAGUCAGACAUAUGAUGAUUGGUUGUGAUUUUAUGACGGUGUAAAAUAUAUAAUUUUACUUUGGAUUCAUAUUAUUUAAAAAAGAGCCAAAUGAUUUUACUUUGGAUUCCUUAAUCUUGUUAUACCUCUUCCAUUUUUAUCAUACAUCACACUGUCAUUGAUCCAAAUGAAAACCAGGUGAUGCAAAAUGGAAGGAUUGCACAAGCUGGAACAUUUGAAGAACUUCUAAAGCAAAAUAUAGGAUUUGAAUUAUUAGUUGGUGCUCAUAGCAAAGCACUAGAGUCAGUUCUUACGGUUGGAAAUUCAAGUCAAGCAAAUUUAAAUCCAAUACCUGAAGGAGAAUGCAUCACCUACUCGAACUCAAGUUCUGAACUUUUACACACACAACUUGACACAGUGCAAGAUAAUCCUCCUACAGAAAGCAAAGGAAAUAAUGAUGGAAAAUUGGUUCAAGAUGAAGAAAGAGAAACAGGAAGCAUAUCAAAAGAAGUUUACUGGUCUUAUUUGACAACUGUUAAAGGAGGAAUUCUUAUUCCAAUCAUACUAUUGGCACAGUCUUCUUUCCAAAUACUUCAGAUUGCUAGUAACUAUUGGAUGGCUUGGGUUUGUCCUACAAAAUCUGAUGCUAAGCCUAUAUUUGAUAUGAAUUUCAUACUACUUAUUUAUAUGGUACUUUCUGUUGCUGGUUCCCUUUGUGUUCUCCUGAGAGCCACGUUGGUGUUAAAUGUUGGACUUUGGACAGCACAAACUUUUUUCACAAGAAUGUUGCAUAAUGUGCAACGAGCCCCCAUGUCAUUUUUUGAUUCUACCCCAACUGGAAGAAUCUUGAACAGGGUAAGAAUUCAUAUCUAUUAAUGCUAUCUUUGACUAUCAUUGUUAUUAUUACAAUGCAAUAUUGAACAGUGUUGUCAAUCUUGGAUAGAGGAAAAUAGUGCUAUAGCGUCGCUGUUGCCUCUAUUUGAUAACAUUUUGUACUAAAUAACAUAUCGCCUAACAAUAUCGAUUUGUUCAAAUUCCUCAUAUGCUAUAGCCCUACUAUGGGCACUAUAUAACAACACUGAUAUUGAAAGUCUUACUUUCAGGCCUCCACAGAUCAAGGUGUGCUAGACUUAGAAAUGGCAAAUAAAAUAGGAUGGUGUGCUUUCUCAAUAAUACAAAUUCUUGGCACUAUUGCGGUGAUGUGUCAAGCGGCUUGGCAAGUAUUUAUCAUCUUCAUUCCAGUAACUGCAAUCUGCAUAUGGUAUCAAGUAUGUAUCAUCUCUCUCUCUCUCUCUCUCUCUCUCUCUAUAUAUAUAUAUAUAUAUAUAUAUAUAUAUAUAUAUAUAUAUAUAUGAAAGGACAUAAAACAAGUGUUACUCAUUUGUAAUUCCAAAAUUAAUAUAGAAGAUAUAAUAUUUCAAUUUUGCAAAGCAUAAGCUAUGUGAACCGAAGCUUAUAUUCAAAUUAUAAAUCAAAUAUUUAAAGUAGAUAAAAAUGCUCAUAUUUAAGUUAUUUGAUAAUAAACGAAUCUAGUAAUUUGAAAAGGAGUUUACAUUUCGGGACAAAAAUAAAUUCAAAUGGUUGCUUAGAUAUAGGGACGGAGGGAGUACUUACAAAGAAAUCAGUCUCUUUCUCAUGUCCCUCUCUAUACACCAUUGUUUUAUGAAAUUCUAACAGAAGUUGAAUGAUGUUUAUUUCAGCGAUAUUAUAAUCCGACAGCAAGAGAACUGGCUCGCUUAGCACAGAUACAAAUUACUCCAAUUCUCCACCAUUUUUCAGAAUCUUUAGCAGGAGCUGCAUCAAUACGAGCUUUCGAUCAAGAAGGCCGUUUCAUGAGCACAAAUCUUGUUCUUCUUGAUGGCUUCUCAAGGCCAUGGUUUCAUAACGUGUCUGCAAUGGAAUGGCUUUCUUACAGAUUGAACUUGCUUUCAAAUUUUGUUUUUGCCUUUUCACUUGUCUUUCUAGUGAGCCUCCCUGAAGGUUUCAUAAAUCCAAGUAAGUACAAAUCUUUAUUGAGAAAAUAUCAGUAAUAGACAAUAAAACCAUGUGUUUUGCAAACAUACGAAGUUAUUUUCAUAUAAUUCUCCUCACAUGAAUUGAAAAUGAUCUUACUUUCUUUUCCGGUAUGUUACAGGUAUUGCAGGGUUAGCAGUAACAUAUGGAAUCAAUUUGAAUGUCUUGCAAGCUUCUGUUAUUUGGAACAUUUGCAAUGCAGAAAACAAGAUGAUAUCAGUUGAAAGAAUUCUUCAAUAUACAAAUAUCGCAAGUGAAUCACCUCUUGUGAUUGAAGACUCCCGGCCGCCAAGAAACUGGCCAGAAACUGGAACAAUAUGUUUCCAAAAUUUGCAGGUUUGAUAUAGCAAGAAUUAAGGACACACAAAAUAUGUAAUGAAUCAAGUUUCUAUGUCCAUUUUUUCCUAACAUAUCUUCUACACAAAAUAUUAUGUUACAGAUACGAUACGCUGAACAUCUACCAUCUGUGUUGAAAAAUAUCACUUGCACUUUUCCUGGAAGGAAGAAAAUAGGUGUUGUAGGACGAACUGGCAGUGGAAAAUCAACCCUCAUACAGGCAAUUUUCAGGAUUGUUGAACCAAGAGAGGGAUGCAUUAUGAUUGACAAUGUGGACAUAUGUGAGAUAGGUCUCCAUGACUUAAGGUCAAGGCUCAGCAUUAUCCCACAGGAUCCAGCCUUGUUUGAAGGCACAGUCAGAGGAAACCUGGACCCUCUGGAGCAAUACUCUGACAGUGAAGUGUGGGAGGUAANUAGUUAAAGAAAUGAAUAUCAUCACUUAAUGUCAUGAUUAUCAUUAACUUCCUCUUUCUAAUAACAAAUAGUCAACAUCAUCAUUUCAUUCUGUUUAUAAACAUUGUACAAUUACUGUUAUUAUUAUUGAAAUUAUGGUUAGCUCAAUUAUAGGACCAUGACUGUAAACUAUUAUGUAUAUUUAAGCACAGUUGCUGCAAUGGAAUAUAUAUCACAUUAUUCACCAUUUUCUAUCUUGGUAUCAGAGCUUUAAGCUUGAAAGCUCUCAUCGAUCCAAUCAUGUCAUCCGCUGCCAACACCAACCAGAAAAAUGACCUUCCCACAAUAGUUUCUGUCAAGUUGGACAGAGACAACUAUCCAUUAUGGAAAUCAUUGGUUCUUCCAUUAAUCAGAGGCUGCAAACUUGAUGUCUACAUAUUGGGGACAAAAGCAUGCCCAAAUCAGUUCAUCACAUCAGGUGAAACAACAAAGAAAGCCAAUCCUGACUAUGAUGAUUGGAUUGCUCGAGAUCAAGCACUCCUGGGAUGGCUAAUCAACUCCAUGACAACAGACAUAGCCACACAGUUACUACACUUUGAAACAUCCAAGGAAAUUUGGGAUGAAGCCCAAAAGCUUGCAGGAGCUCAUACAAAGUCAAGGACAAUCUACCUCAAAUCUGAAUUUCAUAAUACUCGUAAAGGGUACAUGAAGAUGGAGUAAUAUCUCAUGAAAAUGAAAACUCUUGCAGACAAUUUGAAACUUGCAGGGUCACCAAUUUCAAACUCUGACUUGAUGAUCCAAAUUCUGAAUGGAUUAGAUGCUGACUAUAAUCCAGUGGUAGUUAAGCUUGCUGAUCUGAUUGAUCUCAGUUUGGUUGAAUUUCAAUCCCAACUACUAGCUUUUGAAAGCAGAAUAGAUCAACUCAACAACUUGAGUGGUCUUACAAUCAAUGCAUCUGCAAAUUUUGCAAGCAAGGCUGAGUAUAGAGGAAACAAACAAGGAACACGAGGCAAUUGGAGAGGUUCCAACUUUAGAGCAAUGAGAGGAGGUGGAGGAAGAGGAAGGAUGCCUAAACUCAUAUGUCAGGUAUGCAAUAAAACUGGUCACACUGCUGUACAAUGCUACCAUCGAUUUGAUAAGUCCUAUACAGGCUCAAAUAACUAUGAUGAGAGUGUAAAACAAGGAACUCAUAGUGCCUUCAUAGCCUCACCCCAUUAUAGUCAAGACUAUGAAUGGUAUUUUGAUAGUGGGGCUAGCAAUCAUGUCACACACCAAAGUGACCAACUUCAAGAUCUUGGUGAGAACAGUGGUAAGAAUUCUCUACUUGUUGGUAAUGGUGAAAAACUUACAAUAUUGGCUUCUGGUUAUACUAAGUUAAAUGAUGUCAACCUGCAUAAUGUAUUAUAUGUGCCUGAAAUCACCAAAAACUUGUUAAGUGUAUCCAAGCUCACUGCUGACAAUAAUGCUAUUGUUGAAUUUGAUAAGAAUUGUUGUUAUGUGAAGGACAAACCGACAGGGAAGGCACUUCUAAAGGGGAGGCUUAAGGAUGGCCUAUACCAACUUUCAACCAAUAAAGAACCAUCAGCCAAUAAAGAUCCAUGUGUUUACAUGUCUCUCAAAGAAAAUUGGCAUAGGAAACUUGGACAUCCCAACAAUAAAGUACUGGAAAAGGUGUUGAAAGAUUGCAAUGUAAAGACAUCACCUAGUGACCAAUUUACAUUUUGUGAAGCCUGUCAGUUUGGCAAACUUCACCUGCUACCCUUCAAAUCCUCUUCCUCUCAUGCUAAGGAACCUUUAGAUUUGAUUCAUACUGAUGUAUGGGGCCCUGCACCAAUUUUAUCUCAAUCAAAUUUUAAAUACUAUGUGCAUUUUAUUGAUGAUUUCAGCAGGUUCACUUGGAUUUUUCCCUUAAAACAAAAAUCAGACACUAUACAUGCUUUCAAUCAGUUCAAAAAUUUAGUUGAAAACCAAUUUGACAAGAAAAUAAAAAUGAUUCAGUGUGAUGGUGGAGGAGAGUUCAAGCCUGUCCAAAAACUUUCCAUAGAAUCUGGUAUCCAAUUCAGAAUGUCAUGUCCAUAUACCUCUCAACAAAAUGGGAGAGCUGAAAGAAAGCAUAGGCAUGUAGCUGAACUUGGAUUAACACUACUAGCACAAGCCAAAAUGCCACUCUCAUACUGGUGGGAAGCCUUCUCUACUGUUGUCUACCUAAUAAAUAGACUGCCAUCAUCUGUGAAUACAAAUGAAAGUCCCUACUCAUUGUUGUUCAAGAAAGACCCUGACAAAACUGCCUUGAAACCUUUUGGUUGUGCCUGCUACCCUUGCCUCAAACCAUACAACCAGCACAAACUUCAAUUUCACACGACUAGAUGUGUAUUCUUAGGGUACAGUAGUUCUCACAAAGGCUACAAAUGUGUCAAUUCACAUGGAAGAAUUUUUGUGUCAAGACAUGUAGUCUUCAACGAAAAUCAUUUUCCCUUCCAGGAAGGUUUUCUGGAUAUAAGAAAUCCUAUCAAAACUGCUACUAAUGAAAUUUCUAUAGGGUUACCUUUUUAUCCUGCAGGUGUUACUACCGACAACACAACUGAGGAAACCAACAAUAUUGUUGAUCACGAAGAGCAAGAAUUAGAUGACAACAACACUAUAGCAGAUCAACCGGUGUUGGGUGGUAGCUCUGAGAAUACACAUGAGAACAAUCUCAGGGAAAGUGACAGUGAAACUGAAGACUCACCAGAAGCAGUUGGAACACCAGAAAACAAUUCACCACCUCAACAGAACAUCAGCAACACACAUUGGAUGAGAACAAGAGGCAAGGAAGGAAUAUACAAGCCCAAACUACCUUACAUAGGGCUUACUGAGGAACUUAAAGAAGACAAGGAACCAGAAAGUGUAAGAGAAGCACAAGUCAGGCCAGAAUGGAAAGAAGCAAUGGAUGCAGAAUACAAGGCUCUAAUGAACAACAAAACAUGGGCAUUGGUACCAUUUCAUGGACAAGAAAAUAUCAUUGAUUCAAAGUGGAUCUACAAAACAAAAUACAAGGCAGAUGGCACAAUUGAGAGGAGGAAAGCGAGACUUGUUGCUAGAGGUUUUCAACAAACAGCUGGAUUGGAUUAUGAUGAAACAUUUAGCCCAGUUGUCAAAGCAAGCACUGUAAGAAUCAUUCUAUCUAUUGUUGUACAUCUCAAUUGGGAAGUUAGACAACUAGAUAUAAAUAAUGCUUUCUUGAAUGGCAACCUCAAAGAAACUGUUUUCAUGCAUCAACCUGAAGGGUACAUAGAUAAAACCAAACCACAUCACAUAUGCAGAUUGACCAAGGCAAUAUAUGGCUUAAAGCAGGCCCCAAGGGCUUGGUAUGACAGUUUAAGGCACACAUUAUUGACUUGGGGAUUUCAAAACACCAAGAGUGACUCAUCUUUGUUUGUUUUAAGGGAGACUAGUCACACUACAUUUCUACUUAUCUAUGUUGAUGACAUAAUAAUCACUGGCAGUAAUAACAAGUUUCUAGAGGCCUUCAUCAAUCAACUUAAUCUUACCUUUUCACUGAAAGAUCUCGGAAACCUUCAUUACUUUUUAGGAAUUGAAGUUCAUAGAGACAACAGUGGGAUGUACUUGAAACAAACAAAGUACACAAAAGAUAUGCUCAAGAAAUUCAACAUGGAAAAUGCAUCAUCCUGCCCUACACCAAUGGUAACCGGGAGACAAUUCACAGCUGAAGGGGAGCCAAUGUCCAAUCCUACACUCUACAGACAGGCUAUAGGUGCAUUACAAUACGUAACCAACAGAAGACCUGACAUAGCCUUUGCUGUCAACAAACUUAGUCAAUACAUGAGCUCUCCAACCACAGAUCACUGGCAAGGAAUAAAGAGAAUACUGAGGUAUCUCCAUGGUACAACAAACCUAGGCUUGCACAUUAAACCAUCAACUGAUCUUGACAUAGCAGGGUUCUCAGAUGCAGAUUGGGCAACAAGCACAGAUGAUAGAAAGUCUAUGGCAGGUCAAUGUGUGUUCCUUGGUGAAAACUUGAUUUCUUGGGCUUCAAGAAAGCAAAAAGUGGUGUCCAGGUCAAGUACUGAGUCAGAGUAUAGAGCCUUAGCUGAUCUAGCAGCAGAAGUGGCAUGGCUCAGGUCACUACUUGCAGAACUCAAAGUGCCAAUACAUAGAAAGCCAGUUUUGUGGUGUGAUAACUUGAGUGCUAAGGCACUAGCUUCCAAUCCGGUUAUGCAUGCCAGGUCUAAACACAUUGAGAUAGACGUUCACUACAUACGUGAUCAGGUCCUUCAAAAUGAAGUCGCAGUUGCUUAUGUUCCUUCUGCAGAUCAAAUUGCAGACUGCCUAACCAAAGCUCUCACUCACACUAGGUUCAACAUCUUGAGGGACAAACUUGGAGUAACAGAGUCACCAUCAGUUUGAGAAGGGGAGUUAAAGAAAUGAAUAUCAUCACUUAAUGUCAUGAUUAUCAUUAACUUCCUCUUUCUAAUAACAAAUAGUCAACAUCAUCAUUUCAUUCUGUUUNUCUGGUAAAUGAUGCUUGCUUGGAAAUUUGGUACUAUAUUUAUUUAGUCAAUAAAGAGUAUAUCAAAUUAUGUUGUUGAAGAGACUAUAGCCUAUUAAACUAUGAAUUUAAUUCAUAUACACUGAGUUUAAAGAUUUUCUACAUUGGCAAUCAAUUGUAAUCCUCACAUCUUUAAAAACAUUUGGCUGUAAUCGAUAACUACUUCUAAAGUCACACAUAUGAUCAUUGGAUUUGAUUUUUGGACAGUGUAAAAUAUAUCAUUUUACUUUGGAUUCCUUAAAUUUUGAUAUACUUCUUCCAUUUUUAUCAUACAUCACACUAUCACUGAUCCAAAUGAAAACCAGGUGAUGCAAAAUGGAAGGAUUGCACAAGCUGGAACAUUUGAAGAACUUCUAAAGCAAAAUAUAGGAUUUGAAUCAUUAGUUGGUGCUCAUAGCAAAGCACUAGAGUCAGUUCUUAUGGUUGGAAAUUCAAGUAAAGAAAAUUUAAAUCCAAUACCUGAAGGAGAAUGCAUCACCUACUCAAACUCAAGUUCUGAACUUUUGCACACACAACUUGACACAGUGCAAGAAAAUUCUCCUACAGAAAGCAAAGGAAAUAAUGAUGGAAAAUUGGUUCAAGAUGAAGAAAGAGAAACAGGAAGCAUAUCAAAAGAAGUUUAUUGGUCUUAUUUGACAACCGUUAAAGGAGGAAUUCUUGUUCCAAUCAUACUAUUGGCACAGUCUUCAUUCCAAAUACUUCAGAUUGGUAGUAACUAUUGGAUGGCUUGGGUCUGUCCUACAAAAUCUGAUGCUAAGCCUAUAUUUGAUAUGAAUUUCAUACUACUUAUUUAUAUGGUACUUUCUGUUGCUGGUUCCCUUUGCGUUCUUCUGAGAGCCACGUUGGUGUUAAAUGUUGGACUUUGGACAGCACAAACUUUUUUCACAAGAAUGUUGCAUAAUGUGCAACGAGCCCCGAUGUCAUUUUUUGAUUCUACCCCAACUGGAAGAAUCUUGAACAGGGUAAGAAUUCAUAUAUGGCAAUGCUAUCUAUGACUAUUAUUGUUAUUAUUGCAAUGCAAUAUUGAACAACGAUUUCAAUCGUGGAUGGAGGAAAAUAGCGGUUCAUUGAAAUUCUCCUAAGCAACAAUGCUAUAGCGUCGCUAUUGCCUGUAUCUGACAACAUUUUGUACUAAAUAAAAUAUUGCCCAACAAUAUAGGUUUGGUCAAACUCCUCAUAUGCUAUAGCCCUACUAUGGGCACUAUAUAACAACACUGAUAUUGAAAGUCUUAAUUUCAGGCCUCCACAGAUCAAAGUGUGCUUGACAUGGAAAUGUUACACAGAAUAGGAUCGUGUGCUUCCUCAAUAAUACAAAUUCUUGGCACUAUUGCGGUGAUGUGUCAAGCGGCUUGGCAAGUAUUUAUCAUCUUCAUUCCAGUAACUGCAAUCUGCAUAUNAUUGAAACUUGCAGGGUCACCAAUUUCAAACUCUGACUUGAUGAUCCAAAUUCUGAAUGGAUUAGAUGCUGACUAUAAUCCAGUGGUAGUUAAGCUUGCUGAUCUGAUUGAUCUCAGUUUGGUUGAAUUUCAAUCCCAACUACUAGCUUUUGAAAGCAGAAUAGAUCAACUCAACAACUUGAGUGGUCUUACAAUCAAUGCAUCUGCAAAUUUUGCAAGCAAGGCUGAGUAUAGAGGAAACAAACAAGGAACACGAGGCAAUUGGAGAGGUUCCAACUUUAGAGCAAUGAGAGGAGGUGGAGGAAGAGGAAGGAUGCCUAAACUCAUAUGUCAGGUAUGCAAUAAAACUGGUCACACUGCUGUACAAUGCUACCAUCGAUUUGAUAAGUCCUAUACAGGCUCAAAUAACUAUGAUGAGAGUGUAAAACAAGGAACUCAUAGUGCCUUCAUAGCCUCACCCCAUUAUAGUCAAGACUAUGAAUGGUAUUUUGAUAGUGGGGCUAGCAAUCAUGUCACACACCAAAGUGACCAACUUCAAGAUCUUGGUGAGAACAGUGGUAAGAAUUCUCUACUUGUUGGUAAUGGUGAAAAACUUACAAUAUUGGCUUCUGGUUAUACUAAGUUAAAUGAUGUCAACCUGCAUAAUGUAUUAUAUGUGCCUGAAAUCACCAAAAACUUGUUAAGUGUAUCCAAGCUCACUGCUGACAAUAAUGCUAUUGUUGAAUUUGAUAAGAAUUGUUGUUAUGUGAAGGACAAACCGACAGGGAAGGCACUUCUAAAGGGGAGGCUUAAGGAUGGCCUAUACCAACUUUCAACCAAUAAAGAACCAUCAGCCAAUAAAGAUCCAUGUGUUUACAUGUCUCUCAAAGAAAAUUGGCAUAGGAAACUUGGACAUCCCAACAAUAAAGUACUGGAAAAGGUGUUGAAAGAUUGCAAUGUAAAGACAUCACCUAGUGACCAAUUUACAUUUUGUGAAGCCUGUCAGUUUGGCAAACUUCACCUGCUACCCUUCAAAUCCUCUUCCUCUCAUGCUAAGGAACCUUUAGAUUUGAUUCAUACUGAUGUAUGGGGCCCUGCACCAAUUUUAUCUCAAUCAAAUUUUAAAUACUAUGUGCAUUUUAUUGAUGAUUUCAGCAGGUUCACUUGGAUUUUUCCCUUAAAACAAAAAUCAGACACUAUACAUGCUUUCAAUCAGUUCAAAAAUUUAGUUGAAAACCAAUUUGACAAGAAAAUAAAAAUGAUUCAGUGUGAUGGUGGAGGAGAGUUCAAGCCUGUCCAAAAACUUUCCAUAGAAUCUGGUAUCCAAUUCAGAAUGUCAUGUCCAUAUACCUCUCAACAAAAUGGGAGAGCUGAAAGAAAGCAUAGGCAUGUAGCUGAACUUGGAUUAACACUACUAGCACAAGCCAAAAUGCCACUCUCAUACUGGUGGGAAGCCUUCUCUACUGUUGUCUACCUAAUAAAUAGACUGCCAUCAUCUGUGAAUACAAAUGAAAGUCCCUACUCAUUGUUGUUCAAGAAAGACCCUGACAAAACUGCCUUGAAACCUUUUGGUUGUGCCUGCUACCCUUGCCUCAAACCAUACAACCAGCACAAACUUCAAUUUCACACGACUAGAUGUGUAUUCUUAGGGUACAGUAGUUCUCACAAAGGCUACAAAUGUGUCAAUUCACAUGGAAGAAUUUUUGUGUCAAGACAUGUAGUCUUCAACGAAAAUCAUUUUCCCUUCCAGGAAGGUUUUCUGGAUAUAAGAAAUCCUAUCAAAACUGCUACUAAUGAAAUUUCUAUAGGGUUACCUUUUUAUCCUGCAGGUGUUACUACCGACAACACAACUGAGGAAACCAACAAUAUUGUUGAUCACGAAGAGCAAGAAUUAGAUGACAACAACACUAUAGCAGAUCAACCGGUGUUGGGUGGUAGCUCUGAGAAUACACAUGAGAACAAUCUCAGGGAAAGUGACAGUGAAACUGAAGACUCACCAGAAGCAGUUGGAACACCAGAAAACAAUUCACCACCUCAACAGAACAUCAGCAACACACAUUGGAUGAGAACAAGAGGCAAGGAAGGAAUAUACAAGCCCAAACUACCUUACAUAGGGCUUACUGAGGAACUUAAAGAAGACAAGGAACCAGAAAGUGUAAGAGAAGCACAAGUCAGGCCAGAAUGGAAAGAAGCAAUGGAUGCAGAAUACAAGGCUCUAAUGAACAACAAAACAUGGGCAUUGGUACCAUUUCAUGGACAAGAAAAUAUCAUUGAUUCAAAGUGGAUCUACAAAACAAAAUACAAGGCAGAUGGCACAAUUGAGAGGAGGAAAGCGAGACUUGUUGCUAGAGGUUUUCAACAAACAGCUGGAUUGGAUUAUGAUGAAACAUUUAGCCCAGUUGUCAAAGCAAGCACUGUAAGAAUCAUUCUAUCUAUUGUUGUACAUCUCAAUUGGGAAGUUAGACAACUAGAUAUAAAUAAUGCUUUCUUGAAUGGCAACCUCAAAGAAACUGUUUUCAUGCAUCAACCUGAAGGGUACAUAGAUAAAACCAAACCACAUCACAUAUGCAGAUUGACCAAGGCAAUAUAUGGCUUAAAGCAGGCCCCAAGGGCUUGGUAUGACAGUUUAAGGCACACAUUAUUGACUUGGGGAUUUCAAAACACCAAGAGUGACUCAUCUUUGUUUGUUUUAAGGGAGACUAGUCACACUACAUUUCUACUUAUCUAUGUUGAUGACAUAAUAAUCACUGGCAGUAAUAACAAGUUUCUAGAGGCCUUCAUCAAUCAACUUAAUCUUACCUUUUCACUGAAAGAUCUCGGAAACCUUCAUUACUUUUUAGGAAUUGAAGUUCAUAGAGACAACAGUGGGAUGUACUUGAAACAAACAAAGUACACAAAAGAUAUGCUCAAGAAAUUCAACAUGGAAAAUGCAUCAUCCUGCCCUACACCAAUGGUAACCGGGAGACAAUUCACAGCUGAAGGGGAGCCAAUGUCCAAUCCUACACUCUACAGACAGGCUAUAGGUGCAUUACAAUACGUAACCAACAGAAGACCUGACAUAGCCUUUGCUGUCAACAAACUUAGUCAAUACAUGAGCUCUCCAACCACAGAUCACUGGCAAGGAAUAAAGAGAAUACUGAGGUAUCUCCAUGGUACAACAAACCUAGGCUUGCACAUUAAACCAUCAACUGAUCUUGACAUAGCAGGGUUCUCAGAUGCAGAUUGGGCAACAAGCACAGAUGAUAGAAAGUCUAUGGCAGGUCAAUGUGUGUUCCUUGGUGAAAACUUGAUUUCUUGGGCUUCAAGAAAGCAAAAAGUGGUGUCCAGGUCAAGUACUGAGUCAGAGUAUAGAGCCUUAGCUGAUCUAGCAGCAGAAGUGGCAUGGCUCAGGUCACUACUUGCAGAACUCAAAGUGCCAAUACAUAGAAAGCCAGUUUUGUGGUGUGAUAACUUGAGUGCUAAGGCACUAGCUUCCAAUCCGGUUAUGCAUGCCAGGUCUAAACACAUUGAGAUAGACGUUCACUACAUACGUGAUCAGGUCCUUCAAAAUGAAGUCGCAGUUGCUUAUGUUCCUUCUGCAGAUCAAAUUGCAGACUGCCUAACCAAAGCUCUCACUCACACUAGGUUCAACAUCUUGAGGGACAAACUUGGAGUAACAGAGUCACCAUCAGUUUGAGAAGGGGAGUUAAAGAAAUGAAUAUCAUCACUUAAUGUCAUGAGUAUCAUUGACUUCCUCUUUCUAACAACAAAUAGUCAACAUCAUCAUUUCAUUCUGUUUAUAAACAUUGUACAAUUACUGUUAUUAUUAUUGAAAUUAUGGUUAGCUCAAUUAUAGGACCAUGACUGUAAACUAUUAUGUAUAUUUAAGCACAGUUGCUGCAAUGGAAUAUAUAUCACAUUAUUCACCAUUUUCUAUCUUGCAUUAGGUUGAAAUGGACAUAAAAAAUGAGAUCGAAAUUAUUUGACAUUCAUUAGGUUAAUCCAACCAUCAACUUCAUUGAUCAAGUUUGCCAAAGGAAACAACACCAUCUUAUGCAUCACUAGUAUAAACCUUGAAAAGGAACAUAUAUUGACAAUAUAUUUCUAUGAUGAACUUGAGGUUUUAGACCUUUGUACAAAUAGGCAUCAUGGUCUAUUUCUGAUCCUUAUCUAAAAAUUUAAAACACUUAGAAAACUUUACAUUUGUAAAAAUUACAUGUCUGUUGAAAUUCCACAAGAGAUUGGUAAAUUAACAUCAUUUGAAGACUUAGUGACUUGUAAUAACUUGGGGUUUUUCUGCUUCUCUUUAUUAGGUGCUCAAUUUUUAUAAUUAGAACUUCAAAUUGUUUAAAGCGGUCCUUUAUACAAGUCUCAGCUUAUUGUUAUAUCACUUAUGUUGAUUUCUCUUGUUUUUCUAACAUUGUAGGCAUACAUGGUGGAAUUACAUAAAAAUGCUUUGAAAAAUCUCAUGUUGCCUAAGAAUGCGGUAAUGAUCCAUAUGUUGCCUGUAUUUUUUUGAAAUGGCAAAUUUAUUACGACGAGGAUUGCAAGGCGCAAAACACUCACGAAAAAAUGAAGAAAUAAAUACAAAUGGCGCUGUAAAUACACGGGACACCAACAAUCCAAACACCCAAAACAAAACAAAAUAAUGAGACCGAAGUAUACCACCGGAACAUUAAAACACCGGAAGCAUACCCUGCCUCAAAAAUAUGUUGCUCGUAUAAUUUUCAAUUGCUAAACAUUUAUGGUUCACAAUUGAUUAUGUAGAAUGAUUAAAAGUUGUUUAUCUAUAUGAUAUGAUGUUUGUCGAACCAAAGCUUUCAAAACAUGCACAAAAUCAUGUCAUGAUUUCUCCAAAACUCUUCCUCAAUAGAAUUCAACACUACUAGAAAAUAUUUUUUUUCAUUCAAAAAAAAAAAACAGUUCAUUAAAUAUAUAAUAUUUGAUUGAUAAUUUUUAUCUUUCAACUCAAUGUCUUUCUUUUUAUUAAUUUAAAAUAUAUUUUUAUUAUUUUAUAAUAUUUAUAAUUUAUUAAAUCUAUAUUUUUUUUAGGGGAAUCAAUAUUAUUAUUCUCUUUUUUAAUUUAUUUUUUUGUUCUUUCGUAAUGAAAUACUUAUUUUUAUUUAUUCUUAUUCUCUUUUUAUCAUAUAUACUUUUUUAGAGGUUGUCAUGUCUAUGUUUUGUUUUUCCCUAAAAAAAAAAAAAUGUCUAUGUUUUGUUAAGCAUGUUAAUUUUUUUUUUUCCUUUUCACUUUAUUUUCUCUAUCUUUCUUUCAUCAACCCAAUACAAUAUAAAGAAUUUAGGAGCUAACUUGUCCCGAUUUAUUUUUUCUUUCUCAAGGAUUAAAAAUUGUUUUUGUUUUUACUAUGGACUAAAUUGUGUCUCAUAGUUUUUCUUGGAGACUAAAAUGAUUCUUAACUUAACAGUUUAAAACCGGGUGCUAAAAACAACUUUUUAGUUAGGGUUUAACUUUAUGAUUUAUUAUAUUUUGCAAAAAAUUAACUUUAUGAUAUAUGUAUUUUUUAUUGAGAAAACUUUAAAACCUUUAUGUGUUUAUUCUAUCAUAAUUUUAAUUUAAAAAUUUCAAGUGGCCAAAAUCAGACGCACCAAACAUGUUGAAAAUUUCACAUGAUUAGUCUUAUCUCCAUAUAUUCCCUAAAAAAAAAACAAAAGUCUUAUCUCCGUAUAUGACAACUCCUUUUUUUUCAUUAACCAUUGCUGAAAAAAGAAAAAAAAAAUUUAGGUAUAUUUUCUUAUAUGUUUUUCAUAUGAAUCUUAACUAAACUACUCACGAUUUUUUAAAUCCACAACUUUCUUAAAGUUUGUUAUAGCCACAAAUAUAUGGUUUUAGUUAAAAAUCAUAAAAAAAAAACACAUAAGAAAUACAUCUAAGUUAUGUUCUUUUUUUACAAAGAAAAUGACUCCAUUUAUUAACUACUUGCUUUAGUUUUUUUUAACCGUAGUAAUACGGGAUUUCUCAAUCAUUCCCUGAAUUUACAUUAAAAAAUAUAAAUUUAAAAAACUCCUCGACAAGUUUAAGAGCCAAACCCCAAAUCAAAACUAAACUUUCAGGGUCACGUUGCUUUGCAUACUCUUUCAAUAUAAACAAACACCUAACUUUAUCCAUAUAUCGUGACAAAAUAGAUAGCGUAAAUCUUAGUCUAGUUUAUGAUUUUUUUGAAGGAUAGUAUAGCUUAUGGUUGAGUAGUACCGGUUCACCACCUCUCACACUUCUCAUCUUUAAAAUAAUCUCAAAUCACUUUCCAACCAUAAAGCUUAAUAUUUCUCAUCUAAAUAAAUUUUUAAAUGUGUUGUGUAUAUUACAAUCGCUCCAAUAUAAUAUAAGAUAAAUCUUCUUUUUUAAGAAGUUAAAAUAGAAUUUCAAUAACCAAACUUCUUUGAUUGCCCCACAAAAGUAAGUCCUGAUCAAUAUUUACAAAUUCAUGCACCACUACAUCUUAUUAUUAUUUUAUUUUUUUUGAAUAAAGAAAUUAGGAAAUUAAUUCCGAGAAAUACAAGUUAUGGACUUGAGCUGGAACUUUUUCCACCCAAAUCUUAUUAGGGUCAGUGAUAGCUAAUUGGGCUAGUCCAUGAGCUACACCAUUACCACUUUUUCCACCACUGCAUCUUAUUAUUAUUUCAACAUAAAGAACUAUAUCAGAAUGCAUUAUUUGUAUGAACAUUUCACUUCUAGCAGUGGCGGAGCCCUUCAUGAGCUGUGGCCCACUCGGAAAAAUUAAAAAAUCAACGAUUAUAGGUCUAUUUUGCGAGAUUUUAUACAAUUUUGUGUUGGUUUUAUGUUUUGGUUGAUCCAAAUUCAUGCAAAGUGGUGUAAUGGCCCACCCGAAAAUUUAAAUAAUUCAAUUAUAGGUCUAUUUUGCGAUAUUUUAUACAAUUUUAUGUCGGUUUUAGAUUUCGGUUGAUCCAAAUUCCCGCAAAUUGGUGUAGUGGUUCACCCGAAAAAUUUAAAUAAUUCAGUUAUAGAUCUAGUUUGCGAGACUUUAAACAAUUUUUCAAUAGUUAAUUUUAGUGGCCCACCCUGACAUUUUUUUCUGACUCCGCCAUUGACUUCUAGUGAGUGUUUUUAUCCCCUUUGUCUGUUUUUGGCUCCUCGGUUCCAAAGUCUAAACCUUGGAAAGACUUUUGUGUUUUAGUUGGUAAAUGGAGAUUUUCAAGAUUUGAUAAAAUGAUUGUUGUAUCUAUUGUGUGGCUUUUAACUUUAGCUAUUUAGCACCGACUUUUCAAUUAAAAGAUGUGUUUGGUGUCCAAAACCGACACAUUUUAUUCAACCAUUUUACUUACUCAAAUUAUUAUAGUACAAGCAUGUUAGUUUUAUGUCCGUAUGUCUAUGUUGAUGUUUAACAUUAUUGAACAAAAUGAGCAAGUGAAUGAGUUUGUAUAUGAGAGUAACAUUUAUACCCAAGAUACACAUAAAGCAAAUGUUGCAACUUGCAAGGAUAUUAACAAAUAGUAACAAUUGAAUCAUAUGGCAACAUUAAUUCAGGGUAGGAAACUUCAUUGAACAUCUUUGAUGACUGUAUAUCACCCGGUCACAAUUUUAAGCAAAUAUUAUUUUUUCAGAUUCAUUGAAUAACUGAUGUAUAUGAACUAUCAUAUGGUUUAGAUAUAUCAUAUGGUUUGGAUACAUCAAUUGUUUAAUGAAUUAAAAAAAAUUGUUUAAAAUACGAAUACAAGAAAUGUUUAGGAAGACAUCAAAAGAUCCAAGAAACAAUUCAAAAAGAGAGAGAAAAAAAUAAGGGACAACCAAGGAGAAGGGAAAAAUUAAAUUACAGCAGUGAGACACAUCAAAGGGUUUUGCCUCCAAACAUUGUAGUGAAAAUCGAAUGAGACAAAAUACGAUUUAAACCACUAAAACACUGGAACUUUAACCUGCUCAAUGGUGGAAUGAAUAGUCUCGUCAUUAUGUUGAAAAAUAUGCAUGUUUCUCUCUUUCCAGAUAACGCAAACAACUGCUAACCAAAUCAUCUUGAAAGCUAAACAAAUGUUUUUCGAAAAACCUCCCUAACCAUAUAAGUGAUGAAGAUGCGAUAAAAUGUUGCGAGAUGAUGCCGAGCAAAUCCUAACCAGCCACAAAUCAAAUUUAUCAAAUAUUACCAUAAAAAACACAAGUGACAAACAUAUGAUAUCUAUCCUUGUAUACUCAAAAGCCUGUGUUAUCUUAAUAAUUCUCAACAUGUGCCACAACCUAGGGUUCUUAAUAAUUCUCCUAUUUCUUCAAAAUUUCUACCGAUUGUCAUGCCCACCAAUUAUUUGUUCAUCUAGCUUGUUUUUCCCAAAAUAAAGAUCAAAGACGAAGUCACUAAAGUGAAAGAAAUAUAAACCAAUUUUUAUUUGAUCACAAACCUAAAUAUAAAGGUUUUAGGCGCACACAUAGGUGAAUAAAAAUAAAAAGAAUUAAACAAGGUAUAUUUUUUAAAUAAAUAAACAAUAUAUUUGAUGUAUGUGUAUCUAAAUCAUCUUUACUUGGGCUUGUACCUUUGUAAGUAUUUCUCAAGGAAUAUGAUUCUCAAAGAUAAAAAGAAAUAUACAAUGUGAUUUCUAAUCUUUUUAGUUUUUACAAAUCGACGUAGAACAAAAAGUAUGUAUUUUUUUCUUUUUUUUGAAUCGGCAAAGAUUUAUUAACCAAUAAAUCUGUGCAAGAUGCACUAAUAAGUUUGGGUGAAAAAAAAAACAAUUACAAAGAAAAAUCGAUUGCCAUAGUAAUACCGACUCGAACUAAAACCUCUUAAAAAAUCACCCUCAAAGAAAGGAACAAAAAGUAUGUAUAUAAAAUGUGAGUUUUCUUUAUUUAUUAUCAUUUUUUGCAAUUUAAAAGAUGACAGCCUAUAACAAAGUCAUAUAAAGAGGACCAUGGAGGGACCUAAGGGCCACAUGGACCCCUAAUUUGAUUCUACAAAAUUGACUUUUAAAAAUUAUUUUAGUCAUUAGAUUAAUUUGAAAACACCAUCUUAUCAUACACUUGUAACACUGGAUUAUUUCUUUUACACCUCCCACCACCCUUCUCUCUCCUCCCGACCACCAACAACAUCAAAACACACCACCAAUUCUCCUCCCACCACGCCAGCUUUGCAAUAGCUUGAAUGACACAGAUCUUCUCAAACAACUCUCAUUCAUGAAUCUCCGAGUAUCUUCUCCAACAUUAUAGUUUUUUAAUUAAUUUUUCAUAUGAUUUAACUAUGGUUUGAAAAUUAGAGUAAACAAACUAAAAUAGUGAAUCGAUCUUCUCCUCUUGUGAAAUCAAUUUAACAUUGCAGCUGCUUCUAUGUGGAACACACUGCCAUACACAAACUCAAUUAUAAGAAAAAUUGGAAUCUGCAAUUUUCAUGAAGAAAAUAAAAAUUGAAGUCUACAAGCAUCUAGCCACCCACAAUUUGAUUGAAAAACAAAGAGUACUUGAAGCUUUGUGAGGACUGUGUUCCAUUACAAUUCUCUAAAUUUCACCAUAAACCAAAACAAAAACUUAAUUUUAAUUAUUACUUGUUUCGAUUGAUAUGAUGUGUAAAUCUGCGAUUUUAUUACCUGUGAGUAGAUUUGGUGAAGAAGAAAGUUGGAUGUUUUUGUGAGAGGUGUGAUUUUGAAUUGCUGCGGAAGAGAAAUGAAGGUAAGUCAUGCUUUGUUUCACACACUUAAAGAGGUUUCAAUUAUUGGUGGUGUUUCUUUGAAGGUGGUUGCUGGUUGUGGGAGAUGGAGCCUGGAGGGAGACGGCCACAAAGCUGGGAGCAAGAUGAGAAAAAUUUGGAAAGUGAAGCUAUUGAGAUCAGAUGUGGGAGAACAUGAUAAGCUUUAAUAGAAAUGCACAAUCUAACCAUUUAUCUUGUGUGACCCAUGGUGGGAAGGUUUUAUACCUUCCCAUGUGAAAUGCCACCAAUAAAUAAAUAUGAGAAGUAGUAGUUUUUUAUAGAUUUUUUAGCAUCUUGGAAAAUCAAAAUAAAACAAAAGUAGGGGGAGGUUUCAAUUUAAGACGAUAGUCAUAGUACCACUUGUCAAAUUAUAAAUUGGUUUUUCCUUAAAAAAAAUAUAUAAAUUGGUUUUGUUUGUUAGCGAGCAAAAUAUUGUACUUUAAAAUGUGCACAUUAGCGGUGAUCCCAAACAUGUCUUAGGUCCUGUUUAGAUAAAUAACUUAUAUUGAUGCUUAUAACAUUAGAGCUUAUAGCACUAGAGCUUACAUCAUAAGCUCUUAUACUCAAUAAGCUCUUUAUGUUUGGAUAUGUACACUAAAAAGUACUUACAUAAAUUGAAGUGUUUGGAUGUAUCAUUAUAUAAGCAAUUAUGAAAUGAUAAAAUAUUUUUGGUUUAAAUUAGAGAAUUAAACCAUAAUUUUUGUAAGGAAUUAACCCACGAUUAUAAAGUUGUAAAAAGAACAAUAUUGAAAUAUAGUAAUAAUUUUAACAUGCAUAUAAAAAAGAGUUAAAUAAGCUUUUUGGCCCUAUAAAUAAAUAUAGUCAAUUUUAUUUUUUAGUCCUCAUAAAAAUAUGACAUGUUUUGGUCCCAAUAAAAAAAUUCAGCAAAUAGUUUUAGUCAGUUAAAUUAAAAUUUCUUUAAUUAUGAUUAAACUUUGAAAUUUUUGAAUGUUUUUUUCAUACUUGUUUAGAACAUUAUAAUAAGUUCCUCCACAAAAAAAUGUACUCAAAAAUUGAUUUUUAAACCAAAAUUUUACUAUUUUUAUCUUGAAAUUUUGAUGUUUAAAAAAAUCAUAUUUAAUUCUUUACAUGAUAAAAAGUUAUAAUUUUUGGGAAAAGAGUUUUUUUAUAAUAUUCUUAACAAGUUUGUCAAAAAACUUUAAAAAAUUUAAAAGUUUAAGCAUAAAUUCACAAAUUUUAAUUUAAUAAGGACUAAAAUUAUGUGCUGGAAAUUUUAUGGGGACCAAAAUAUGUCUCUUUUUUUUAUUAGGACUAAAUAAAAUUAGAUAUAUUUAUAGCGAUCAAAAAUUAUUUUACCUUAUAAAAAAUCAUCAAUAUUCAAAUAGAAGAAAAUUAACAUUAGUGGUGUAUAUAAAUAGUGUAAACAUCACCAUUCUUAAUAAGUGUUCCUUCAAAAAAAAUUCUUAAUAAGUGUAAUAAUGUAAAUACCCUUUUAAAAAAAUAUAACUAUGCAAAUAUAAAAGUAAGAAAUAACUAAGGCUUAAUUGCACUUUUGGACCCCUAUCUUUUCAAAAGUUGCGGUUAUGGACCCCUAACUAAUUUAAAUACAAAACAGCCCCUUAUGUUUUGAUUCUUUGGCAGUUUUGGACCCCCAGUCCAUUGUUGACUCAGUCAACGCUGACGUGGCACCCUAAGUGAGGUGCCACGUGUCAAUUUUUUUAUUUAUUUUUUGCUUUAGGGGUCCAAAACUGCCAAAGAAUCAAAACAUAGGGGGCUGUUUUGUAUUUAAAUUAGUUAGGGGUUCAUAACCACAACUUUUGGAAAGAUAGGGGUCCAAAAGUGCAAUUAAGCCAAUAAUUAAACAUAGGUAAAAGUUUCAUAGUCUUAUAUCAUUGUUGAAAAAGUCUUUAUUUUCUUGUUGAUUGUUAUGUGUGUUACUGUACUUACAUAAAGAUAAAAAAAGAUAACUAUAUGACUAAUCACAACAAAAGAUAAUUAUACAAUAAAUAAAAACAGGCUUUGGAAAAAAUUGCAACGAGAAUCGAAGCACGUCUCCUUAUUUGUAUAAGCUGCGUAAUAAGCUAUAUGUUAAGCUUAAAAUUUAGGCUUAUCAAAAUAUGAUAUAAGCAGCUUAUGAAAUUGUGAUAAGCUGUUUUUAUUGAUUUACCCAAACACCUUUAAAAAAGCUUAUGUUAGUAGAUAAAUCCAUAUAAGCUCCGAAUAAGCCAAUCCAAACGGGGCCUUAUUCUAUUUUUUAUUUUCUAUUUAAAGAGAAAUUAUUUAUGUUAAAGUCAACUCAAUUAUUGAUGAAGGGGUAAUGAAGAGUUUAAAAAUGGGACAAUAAUAAAUUAUCUCUUGAGAAACUAUUUUUCAUAUAUGUCAUUGUCUAAUUAGGUGUCAUUGAUUUCAAUUUUACAGAAAAAAACAAUUUGGAAUUCUAGAGUAAUGUUAAAAGUGAUAAAGACUAAUGAGGUAAUAUUCAGUAAAACCAAAGGAGGCACAAUCACAUUUCUAAUAUUUUUACGUCUAAACUUUUUUCAAAAAAAUAAAAAAAAAUACUCUACGUAUAAUCUAAGUUUUUUUUUUGCCGGAGUUUGAAUCUCGGACCUUGCAUAUGUUAUGCACCGUCUCUAUCAAUUGAGCUUAAGUCACGAGGACAUAAUCUACGCUAUUUGAAAUGAUUUAAUUUGUUUAUUGAAUACAGCAAAAAAAAAAAAAAAAACAAUCCAAGAUGUAGAAGAAAAAUUAGUAUUUUAGAAAAGAAAAAUGAGCUGUCUUUGAUAUUUCAAACAAGGAUUAUACCAAAUUAACAAUAAUAAUUUUAGUUUUAGGAAACUACUUGGUAGUUCAUGCCAAAUACUAUUAAACGUUCAAUUAGUCUUUUUAGUUCAAUUAGUUUUAUACUUUACUUGGCUCAAAACUAAGAUAUUCUAUGAUUUUUAGAGAUUUGGAUUGUGUGCAGUCACAACUUCUUAUUAUACAUGAACACUCAAAUGAUCCACAUUUAAAGUUUGGUGUUUUACAUUCCUUACAAAAAAAAAAAAAAAUUGGUAUUUUAGAUUAUAAAGAAUCAAAAUAUGUAUUGAAAUUUAGAUGUGAGUCACUGAGUGCCUCUCACACUACACACAAUCCAAAUCGAAGUUUGAUUUAGAUACCCUAUACACCUCACUUUGUGUAGUCUCAAUACUACUUUUGCUUGAACUAUAUCCUCAAUUUCUUAGGAGUUUGAUAUCGCUCUUCAUUUGGCUUUGACAGAGCUAAGAAGUUUUUCAUGGACUACAUGGCAACCAUUAGUCUGACAUGCUUGUUGGAACAUGUAACUUUACCUCUAGAAUUUGGCUUUCUUGUGAUAUUGUUAGUCCAACUCCUAAGAAAUUGCAUGAACAACAUCACCAAGCAAAACAAGGUCUCAGAAGUGC
rnacentral:lncRNA from 1 species